GCAUGGCUGAAUUCUGCUCCAGCUGGUUCUCCGUACUGGACACAGUCAGACACCAUGCAACAGCCUCGUCUCAUUUCUGCCAAAAACAAAA
ensembl:snoRNA